CCUACGGGCGGCUGCAGUGGGGAAUAUUGGGCAAUGGGCGCAAGCCUGACCCAGCCAUGCCGCGUGCAGGAAGAAGGCCCUCUGGGUUGUAAACUGCUUUUGGGAGGGGACAAAAAGCCAAUGCGUUGGUAAUUGAGUGUACCUCCAGAAUAAGCACCGGCUAACUCCGUGCCAGCAGCCGCGGUAAUACGGAGGGUGCAAGCGUUGUCCGGAUUUAUUGGGUUUAAAGGGUGCGUAGGCGGCCCGAUAAGUCGGGGGUGAAACCCACAGGCUUAACCUGUGGAGUGCCCUCGAUACUGUCGGGCUUGGGUUAUCUCUAGGCGGGCGGAAUGGAAGGUGUAGCGGUGAAAUGCAUAGAUAUCUACCAGAACGCCGAUAGCGAAGGCAGCUCGCUGGGGAUAUACCGACGCUGAGGCACGAAAGCGUGGGGAUCAAACAGGAUUAGAUACCCGUGUAGUC
rnacentral:rRNA from 1 species